rnacentral:rRNA from 1 species
GAUUAUGGCUCAGAUUGAACGCUGGCGGCGUGCUUAACACAUGCAAGUCGCGCGUGAAAGGACUUCGGUCCGAGUAAAGCGGCGCACGGGUGAGUAACGCGUGGAUGAUCUACCCAUGAGUUAGGAAUAACGGCUGGAAACGGUCGCUAAUACCAAAUACGCUCCGAUUUCAACUUCGGGGGAAAGGUGGCCUCUGCUUGCAAGCUACUGCUCAUGGAUGAGUCCGCGUCCCAUUAGCUAGUUGGUGGGGUAACGGCCCACCAAGGCGACGAUGGGUAGCCGGUCUGAGAGGAUGACCGGCCACACUGGGACUGGAACACGGCCCAGACUCCUACGGGAGGCAGCAGUGGGAAUAUUGCGCAAUGGGCGAAAGCCUGACGCAGCGACGCCGCGUGAGGGAAUGAAGGUCCUCGGAUCGUAAACCUCUGUCAGGAGGGAAGAACCGCCACGGUGCUAAUCAGCCGUGGUCUGACGGUACCUCCAAAGGAAGCACCGGCUAACUCCGUGCCAGCAGCAGC